CCAAUUUGUUUUUUUAUACACGAGUUUCAGGUGUGGACCGAAGGACCACCUCCGAGCGAACGCCACCGAAGUGAGGUUCCCGACCACCUUCGAAGGGAUGUCCGAAGUUUUCGCCGACACAUCUGCAUCGGCGAGAACAGCACCAGAAACGGAUGUUUUUCCAUAUCCAUAAAAUCAAGUAAUCGUGUACUAGGUAAAAUAAAAGGUGGCUUUAGAUAUUUUUUUUAAUUACGUACUUUGAUUGAAAUUAAAAGAGUAACAUGUUUUUUAACAAAAAACAUAAUUUAAAAAAAUAGUUACGUGAUUAGACAAGGCUUUAGAUGUUUCUUCUUCACAAACUCCUUUCUCAGAUGUUCCUCUAGAUUGUGCACUAGUAAUGAAAAUAUUCCUGCAAAACCAAUCAAUUCAACCAGUCAAUUUGCAACCUAAUCAAAAACCUGUGAAUACGUAAAUGGAGAAUGCCUCCUGAAAUUCAAAUUAUGCCAGGUAAAAACCUGAAAGUGGAUGUUCUCUGUGUUUCAAUGAUACUUUCACUAAGACAGUGCCAGGAAUUUGUUCAAAUACCUGCAAAACAUCGGUUGAAAUUUAUUAUUGCUAAAACUUAAAAACAAAAAUGCUAAUUUAUGUGAUUAAAUAAACAAAAUAAAAAAUUGAAAACACUACAAACUAGCUUACUGAAACACGAAAUUGUAGACCAUCAUGUGGACACUGCAACAAGCUACUAGAACCAUUGCAUAUUUGAUUCAUACUGUUGUCCUCAAGAAUGAUAUUGAUUUGCUCAGUUGGAAGAGUAACCUUUACCAGGGUUUAAAUUUUCAGUAUAAGAGAAAACAAUAUUGCACAGAACUAUAAAGACCAGUUUGCAGUUGACACACUUUCUAAUUUUUAAAUUAAUGAAGAUGAAAAUGAAUUAAAGAUCAGUUUAUGAUCAGCAAAUAAACAUACAUUAAUGCAAAAGGACACCAAAUCAGAUUCACAUGGAGUAGCAGAAGCAAGGAAGUAUGAUUCUGUAGUCUUAAGUACAUGGACUGCAC
rnacentral:lncRNA from 1 species